UUAACUCGAUCCUAUGUCGAACCCAGCAACCAAUAAUCAUACUAUCUGACGCAUCGAUUGCGUUCCACUUCGUCUUCACCAUCUCGGUUCUCCCUGAUGUCUGUUACGGUUGAAGUGCGGUAUGCGAUUGCUGUAACGUGUGAAGAUAAAUGGCUCUCGAAUACGACCUCUGAAUGAAAACAUGAAGAAGUGUCAGUAUGCCGUAAGUGGUGAGCUCUAGAAAAGGCAUAAAGGUGGUUGCGCUCUGUCAAGCUCCUUGUCUACUAGAUGACCCAUAUGUAGGAAUGAUAUUUCCAAGAGCUAAGCAUUAUCUUUUCUUGAUUUGCAAACUCAUUAGUUAGCCGGUUAUCUAUAAAGAUUUCAUGUGAAAAUAUCAAAAUGUUAUUUCCUUUCUAUGUGUGUCAUCAGGUGCUUACAGUGACUCAAGAGGCCUUGUGGAAGCUAGGAAAGCCAGCUCAAGCCUUUUGUUGUCAUUUUCAUAUCUCAGUAAUCCAGAACUCAUAUUCCUCACGAUGGAGCUAGCAAAGGUGUGAAACAAAUCUUAAGCUGUGCUAUUCGCGGUGAGGGAGACGAUAGCAAAGGUGUGAAACAAAUCUUAAACUGUGUUAAUUGCUAUUCGCGGUGAGGGAGAUGAGGCUUCAUUGGGCUGAACCGUGUAUGGCACUAUGAAUGUCAUCUGAAGCAAGUCUUUUCCGAGAGCCUCACCAUUUCUCCAUGAAUAAUAAAGACAUCCACAGGUUUACUGACCACCAGUUCACCAUUUCCUUCAGUCACAACUCUGUGUUGUCGGCCAAAAAUGAAUGAUGCUUUUCACAUAAUUCUGUGUUGCCUCUCAAUGUCUCACGGAGAUUUCGUUUGUCAUUUGAAGUGAAAAAUAACCAAAAGCGCAAGAAAUGAGUAAGACGAUCAGAUGUUAUGCUCAUGCUAUUUUUGGCUGCUAAUUGUUUGAGGGAUAUGGAGUGCCAGGAAGGUGGCGAUUUUGGAAUCGUGCCUGCACAGCUUGUGCUAAUGUCAAAAGAUCACAAUAUUCAUUGCUUCUCUGCAGAAAUAUUGAGAAGAGCAGGCGAGUGCAAGUGCGACCAAGAAGCUUCACCAGAAAAGGCAAUUCAUCGCAAUUUAAGUAGAAAAAUAGGAAUUAUGAUCAGAAGAAAUAAGGUGGUGAUGAGAUGAAUGCAUGUCUUAUAUGCCCUGAAGCGAUGGUUACAGCAGAUCUAAGCUUCUUACCCUGUCCUUGCGGAUGUGUCUAUGUCUCUUCUCCUCUAUUCUGAUCAACCAAGACGAUGGACGUAGCCCACGACGCUCAGCUUCCCCAAACAAGUAUGAGAGGGCAAGUAGUAACAGUGUUUUAUUUUUUUAGUUAUUUCCUUAGUAUCUCAAUUGCACACAACAUAUUGUUUGUCAACAGAGUUUGUGUUACUGACGUUGCUGCAUCUUUUGAAAGUUUGAAACUUAAUAAAAGUGAU